rnacentral:rRNA from 1 species
UAAUACAGAGGGUGCAAGCGUUGUUCGGAAUUAUUGGGCGUAAAGCGCGUGUAGGCGGCUUUGCAAGUCGGGUGUGAAAGCCCUCAGCUCAACUGAGGAAGUGCGCCCGAAACUGCAGAGCUUGAGUACCGGAGAGGAUGGCGGAAUUCCCCAAGUAGAGGUGAAAUUCGUAGAUAUGGGGAGGAACACCGGUGGCGAAGGCGGCCAUCUGGACGGAUACUGACGCUGAGACGCG